GUCAGCCGCCAUAUCACCCUGUAGCUCUCAACUGGCUACCCACUGAAGCUCAGCAGGGUUGAACCUGGUCAGUACCUGGAUGUGUGACCUCCUGGGAAGCUGAUGUUGCUGCUGGAU
rnacentral:rRNA from 1 species